AUUGAACGCUGGCGGCAGGCCUAACACAUGCAAGUCGAGCGAGCGGCGGACGGGUGAGUAAUGUCUGGGAAACUGCCUGAUGGAGGGGGAUAACUACUGGAAACGGUAGCUAAUACCGCAUACCAUCAGAUGUGCCCAGAUGGGAUUAGCUAGUAUGUGGGGUAAUGGCUCGCCUAGGCGACGAUCACUAGCUGGUCUGAGAGGAUGACCAGCCACACUGGAACUGUGACACGGUCCAGGAUCCUACGGGAGGCAGCAGUGGGGAAUAUGGCGCCAUGGGCGCGAGCCUGAUGCAGCCAUGCCGCGUGUGUGAAGAAGGCCUUCGGGUUGUAAAACACUUUCAGCGGGGAGGCGUUACCCGCAGAAGAAGCACCGGCUAACUCCGUGCCAGCCGCCGCGGUAAUUC
rnacentral:rRNA from 1 species